ensembl:lncRNA novel transcript
GACCAGGGACCAAGGCUUCGGAGAAGACUCUGGAGAAGGCUCGGAGGAAACUGGGUAGAGCCCCCACAUUUAGGCUAAAUCUCUGGACUCAUGGCUACUCUGUGGAGGGGACGGUAUUGCUGCAGGAGCCAUGCUUAUCACCUUCUCACAUAUAUUUGGAAGCUGGUUCUUUGGCCCAAAGUGCUUUUACAGCCUACCUGUAUUUUACCGGCCCUCCUAGACGGGGGGAACUCCCCUGUCCUCUGCAGGAAUGUCAAAAGCCACCCAUCUUUAACCACCUAAUGCUCCCAUCAGCAGAGAGGCACACAGCACAGUGAACGUCGAGCAUGCACACCAGGAAGCCCAGGUUCGAGUUCUGACCGUCACUUACUGGUGGUAAUGUAAGUAACUCAGCUUGCUUACUUACUCACUUACUGUAACUCAGCUUCCUUAUCUCUAGAAUGGGGCAGUAAUUGAUUCUACCUUUCCAAGUUACUGUGUGCACUGGAAUAAAGUCUGGCACACAGUAGGCAAUAUAAUACUAUGUUUGUUAAGCUAAAUAGAAUCAGUAUAUUUCCUUUUAAAAUAAUUAAUCAGACAAUGAUUUAUUAAAUAACCAUGAGAAAUCACAGUGCCUGGUGCUACAGAUAAAUCUCGCAUGCUUUAAAAAGGUUGCAGUCUAGUACAGGAACUAAGACAAGUGUGCAAUUAAGUACUAAACAAAUAGAAUCAAGAUUAUACAUUUUCUAAGUAUGAAUUCCUAAAGAAAAUAUCAAUAAGGUAUAAUUAAAAAACCAUAUUAGGCCACCAUAUCUGGCCUAAUAUGGUUUUUAUAAGAAUUACUAGUACUUAAUAAUGAGAUAAUAAUGCAUGAGUCCCAGAAAUAAAUGGGACAGAACUGAUAGCCCGUGAACAGACCCCAACUCAUAUAAGAAUCUGUGUGUAGUGCAGAAAGCUUCACCUUGAUUCCACAGGGACCAGCCGCAGCCCUGCAUGCUGACAGUGCAGUGCAGCGCAGGCUGUGGGGGGUGCAGUCCGCACACAGGCUCAGAGCCCAGCUCCCCAGCUUCCAGGCCCUGUCAUUGUACGUGAAGUGUGUGACAGUGCCACAGCCCCCUUUCCUCAUCUCUAAAACGGGGUGCUAAUAGUUGCAUCACUUCACUGGAUUCCUGCAAGGAAGAAGCAGUGCAUGUAAAGCACAGAGUACUUGCUCAAUAAGCGCAGAAUAUAUGGUACAAUCUUUUUUUAAAAUAAUUUUUAAACAAUAAUUUACAUGUUAAUUCCUAACUUGUAAAUAUAACACAAUAAAUUCCAGACAAAUUAAAAAAUAAAAAUUUAAUGUUGAGCUUAAAGCCAGCCUAGAAAAAAUAGUAUGUUUGCUCUGGCAGGACUAAGGUAAAAUCAAUGGAAGAAAUUAAAAACAACAAAAACAAUAGGUUUGACUUUAUAAGAUUUGAAAAGUUAAAGGCACCUACAUCAAAACAUCAUAAAUUAUAAAAGCUAUUAAUAAAGUAGAAAUAAGAAAUAAUUGUAACAAACAUGUAAUGUAUAACUAAUUCCCAGAUUAAAAAACAUAUUUUAAAUUAAUCAGUCAAAUGGCAAAGAAUGGGAAACGACAAGUCACAUACGAAGAAAGCCAAAUGGACACUUUUUCUAAAUGUCUACUAUGCAUGCCCAGGAAAAAAAGUGAUCAUUACCACAACUAUGAGUAAAUGAGAGCUGUUCACAGAAGUUGUCUAAAACUGGGGUUUCUCACCUGAAAUUGAUUGACAAAAGAAAACAUUUUAAUUCUCGUUGUUUUCCCCAGUGACAUUCCCUUUAUGUUAUCUUCUAUAACCUCAUUCUUGCACCCUUUGGGCCCAGCUCUCUACUUCUAAACUGACACUUCCAGGUGGAAUUUCAGACCCUGAUGCAGGGCUGGCCAUGAGAGCUUCAUCAGAGUCCUCCACUGGUCCCCGGCCUUCAGCUAGAGGGGGACCCUAUGAGGCAUUUUAGGGCCUACCCUGGAAAUGGUACAUUUCAGUGCUGCACAUAUUUCACUGGCCAGAGUGCAGUUAUUGGCUCAAAAUUAAUGCCAGAAAGGCUGAGAGAAACAAUCUGUGUGCGCAGGAAGAGGAACUGGGAUUGGUGGGCAUCUAGCUGGUUUCAGCUACAUUAUGACACAUUCAAAGCAUGGAAUAUUAAGUAGCACUAUAAAGGGAUGUUUCUGAAGAAUAUUUGAUGACAUGGAAAAAGCCUCAUUUUAUGGUCAUGAUUCAAAACAAAAUGUUGGAUCAGACAAUUAGCAUCAACCUAAUUAAGUAAAAGGCAUAAAUAGAUGUGACUAAAAGUUAUAUAUCAAAAUAUUAACAAUUGAUAAAUUACAGAUACCUCACAUUUAUUUUUCUACUUUUCCUUUUUCCAAACCAUGUGUGAGAAGCAUGUAUUACAAUUAUUUUAAAAUUUAAAAAAGAGUGAGAAACUUUCCUUUGAAGAUGGAGAUUUCAGCUUAGCAUUCAACUGCAUGGAGCCACGAAACUAUAUGAAAUUAUAUCAAUAGAUUUACCACUACUUUUACACAUAUUCCUUUUUGCAUUUCAUACUUUCCAUUCAACAUACUAUUUCUACCUGAAAUAGAGAACUAAUAAUUGUCUUAUUUCCUCUUCAAUCUUGAAAUACUGUUUUGCUGGGUUUUUCUCUUGGCACAAUGAAGAUAAUCUCCCCUCUCUGGCAUCCAUUGUUACUGCUAGAAAUUCAGCUGUCAGUCUAAUUUCUGUGUCUUUGUAAGUGAUCUCUCUUUUCUAACUAGUCAUUCUCUUUGGUCUGAAUUUGUAUUACUGCGUGUAGAUUUCUUUGUAUUUUAAUUGGCUUUGGAAUUGUUGGGUUUCCUGGAUUUGGGCCUUGGUAUCUUUCAACAAUUCAGUAAAAUUCCCA